AGCUCCAAUAGCGUAUAUUAAAGUUGUUGCAGUUAAAAAGCUCGUAGUUGGAUUUCUGGGAGGGUGCCAAUGUCCGUCGUCGUACGUGUUGCAGCGGCGCCCUUCCAUCCUUCUGUUAACGACUUUGGGCAUUCACUUGCCGGAGUCGGGCUCAGAUAUUUUACCUUGAGAAAAUUAGAGUGUUUCAGGCAGGCUAGGCCGGAAUACAUUAGCAUGGAAUAAUGGAAUAGGACUACGGUCUCUUUGUUGGUUUGAGGGACUGCAGUAAUGAUUAAUAGGGAUAGUUGGGGGCAUUAGUAUUUAAUUGUCAGAGGUGGAAUUCUCGGAUUUGUUAAAGACUAACUUAUGCGAAAGCAUUUGCCAAGGAUGUUUUCA
rnacentral:rRNA from 1 species